UACGUAGGGGGCUAGCGUUGUCCGGAAUCAUUGGGCGUAAAGAGCGUGUAGGCGGUCCGGUAAGUCCGCUGUGAAAGUCGGGGGCUCAACCCUCGAAUGCCGGUGGAUACUGUCGGGCUAGAGUGCGGAAGAGGCGAGUGGAAUUCCUGGUGUAGCGGUGAAAUGCGCAGAUAUCAGGAGGAACACCGGUGGCGAAGGCGGGUCUCUGGGCCGUAACUGACGCCUGGAGGAGCGAAAGCGUGGGGAGCGAACAGG
rnacentral:rRNA from 1 species